AACAAACGCUGGCGGCAUGCCUAAUACAUGCAAGUCGAACGGGGAAAGCUUUCGGGUGAGUACUAGUGGCGCACGGGUGAGGAACGCGUGGAUAAUCUGCCUUAGAGUGGGGGAUAACUAGUCGGAAGAUUAGCUAAUACCGCAUAAGACCACAGGAGCUGCGGCUCAAGGGGUCAAAGGUUUUUCGCUCUAAGAUGAGUCCGCGUAAGAUUAGCUAGUUGGUGAGGUAACGGCUCACCAAGGCGACGAUCUUUAACUGGUCUGAGAGGAUGAUCAGGCACACUGGAACUGAGACACGGUCCAGACUCCUACGGGAGGCAGCAGUAGGGAAUAUUGCACAAUGGAGGAAACUCUGAUGCAGCGACGCCGCGUGAGUGAUGAAGGCCUUCGGGUCGUAAAGCUCUGUCGCAGGGGAAUAACACAAUGAAUGUACCCUGUAAGAAAGGAUCGGCUAACUUCGUGCCAGCCGCCGCAGUAACAC
rnacentral:rRNA from 1 species